GACAUCGCUGUACUGUUCCUCUUUAAAUCAGCUCUUAAUUUUUUUCUACCAAAAAUGAUUAGCUCAGGUCAGGGGGUACUUGGCUUAAAGAAACAAUUCAAAAGGGGUACAUUAUUGAAAAAGUUUGAGAACCUCUGACCUAGAAAAUGGAGA